AUUGAACGCUGGCGGCAGGCCUAACACAUGCAAGUCGAGCGGAGCGGCGGACGGGUGAGUAAUGCCUAGGAAUCUGCCUCGUAGUGGGGGAUAACGUCCGCAAACGGGCGCUAAUACUGCAUACUAUCAGAUUAGCCUAGGUCGGCUUAGCUUGCUGGUGGGGUAAAGGCCUACCAAGGCGACGAUCCGGAACUGGCCGGAGAGGAUGAUCAGUCACACUGGAACUGAGACACGGUCCAGACUCCUACGGGAGGCAGCAGUGGGGAAUAUUGGACAAUGGGCGAAAGCCUGAUCCAGCCAUGCCGCGUGUGUGAAGAAGGUCUUCGGGUUGUAAAGCACUUUAAGUUGGGAGGCGUUACCAACAGAAUAAGCACCGGCUAACUUCGUGCCAGCCGCCGCGGUAAUAC
rnacentral:rRNA from 1 species